rnacentral:rRNA from 1 species
UACGAAGGGUGCAAGCGUUACUCGGAAUUACUGGGCGUAAAGCGUGCGUAGGCGGUUCGUUAAGUCUGUUGUGAAAGCCCCGGGCUCAACCUGGGGAAUGGCAAUGGAUACUGGCGAGCUAGAGUGUGUCAGAGGAUGGUGGAAUUCCCGGUGUAGCGGUGAAAUGCGUAGAGAUCGGGAGGAACACCUGCGGCGAAGGCGG